rnacentral:rRNA from 1 species
GACGAACGCUGGCGGCGUGCUUAACACAUGCAAGUCGUACGGUAAGGCCCUUUCGGGGGUACACGAGUGGCGAACGGGGGAGUAACACGUGAGUAACCUGCCCACAACUUUGGGAUAACGCUAGGAAACUGGUGCUAAUACUGGAUAUGUGCCCCUGCUGCAUGGUGGGGGUUGGAAAGCUCCGGCGGUUGUGGAUGGACUCGCGGCCUAUCAGCUUGUUGGUGGGGUAGUGGCCUACCAAGGCGGCGACGGGUAGCCGGCCUGAGAGGGUGACCGGCCACCUUGGGACUGAGAUACGGCCCAGACUCCUACGGGAGGCAGCAGUGGGGAAUAUUGCACAAUGGGCGCAAGCCUGAUGCAGCAACGCCGCGUGCGGGAUGACGGCCUUCGGGUUGUAAACCGCUUUCAGCAGGGACGAAGCUUUUUGUGACGGUACCUGCAGAAGAAGCACCGGCUAACUACGUG